AGGGGUCAGGCAUACGGGUUUGUCAAGGUGACCUUGAGCCACAGGAGGAAGUGGCUUUAAUGUCAAAACAAGGUGGACUAAUCCGAGGAGGCUCCCCAAUGAGGCCAUCUGGGAGUCGGCAAGUACCCUAGAGGUGCAACGAGGACCGUUUUUCUGUUGGUCCCCAUCUUCCUCUGCCUAAUGGGGGGGGGGGGGCUUACUCCUGCACCUGGGAAUGAUGUAGCCUUCCAGAUAGGAGAUCACCUCUGGCAGGAAUCGAAGGGGCUAAGGAGACCAUGUUCCCCUGCCUCAGCCUGCCAUUCUUGGCCACAGCUGACAAUGACCAUGAGGGUGCACAUGUCCUGUGUCAUGCCAGGUCAUCCUUGAGUGCACUGAGUCCCUUAGAAGCAGAAACUGUCCCUCCACUUAAUGCCGCAUGACAGCUGGUGUCACUCUCAAAGGUGGGAAUGUCCAAGAACAAGGCUUGGUAGUUGCUGAUGGGGGAAGGGACGUGGCCAGAAUCUCUGCAAUUCUCCCCAUUCGUCAGACUGAUUCGAAUGGGCCAUGAACAGAGACCCCAUGUCACUCCCCUGGGCUUGGCACAGGUCGGCCUAUCUGUCCAAGUCCCCUGUGGGCUGGUAUCUGCAGUGAGUGUCAAUGCUGUCCUGGGGCGUCCAGCCCAUGGAAGACAAGUCCUUGUUAUUCAAGGGAAUACCUGCAAGGCACCCUGGCAUCAAUGACGCAAAGCUGACAGUGGCUGAGGGUGGCACAGCCCAGGCUUCCUGGGGUUGGCUGUCUGGCCAUGAGUCAAUGAGCUUUCCCUCUGUUCUCACCCCCCCAAUCUAUCCCUACUUAAGGGGCCAGGGUCUACCUUUAGCUGCUUCAUGCUGAUACAGGGAGGCUGUCCUAGUCUUGUCCCCCCACAUGCUCCAGAGGGGACAAUGGGUGAUGCAGAGUUCUGAACCGGAAAGGUCCCCGUUUGUCUGAAUAACUAAAUGGGGGCCCCUGUGAGUUAUAUCACCAGGCAGUAGCUCCUGUAGAGCAACCUUGAGGAGAUACUUGGUCCUCAGCACAGUGCCUGGGGAAACCUAGAGAAACCUAUGGAGGAUCAUCUAGAACAAGUCUUAUCCUUAAGUGAACCCACCGGGGAACUCCAACUCUAAAGCAGUUGGGGCCAGUAUCCCUGAGGGUCCUUAUUCAGGCUGAAGUUGGUCUCUAGAAGACUCUCCAUAGACGACCUGUCUUCCUGGUUAUUCGUCCGUAAGAACCGUAUCAAAAAAGGGAAUUCCACAUAAACUUCUGGGGCUUGACCAAGUUCAUAAGCCAUGGUCUGUAUCUCCAAACCAAGCAUUGGUUAAGGCUUGACCUAAGUACCCCAAAAGGACGACUUGGGCUGCUGGUUGGGGUCGCUUGGGUGCCUAAAUGGGCGGUGAGGACUCCGAGUCUCCUGGUGCUACGUGGCCAGGAUUUGCUGGAGGACAUAGUUGGCUUUCCUGUCCCAAGGACAAGAUAUCAAACUAGUUAUGACUUCCAAGAGCUGUAUAAACUUGUUUCUUGCAAGAAGCGGUGGCCUGGGACUGCUCUAGAGGACUUUGGGAGCCCAAGUGGAAAUCGUGUCCUGAGACACCUAAUGGAUUUUAAUUCAAACUAAGCUUAGUAUCUACCCUGGGGAAAAAUACUGAACCUGUAAACAGUCCCAGGAACUCACGCCAGUAAGUGCCCCUUGUCGGCUCCCAGUGGGUGUACCUUAAGGGGUGGUGUCAUAGGGACAUGUCUGCAUUGAUCACUGGGAAUGUUGUACCUGUGAGCCAUUCUGAAUCAACGUAGUGUCCCCACUUAUCCUGUUUCUAUAUCUCCAUAGAGGAGAUAGAAGCUGGUCCUCUGCAGAAG
rnacentral:lncRNA from 1 species